rnacentral:snRNA from 1 species
GGAUGUGAGGGUGAUCUGGCUGUGACAUCUGUCACCCCAUUGAUGGCCAGAAUUAAUUCAGCUGAUCAGGCUGGCUAUGCGGGUGUCCUCUUUCUCCUUCAUUGUUCCAUGUGCGUCCCUCCCGAAGCUGUGCGCUCAGUGGAAGAAGAUGACCAUCCCUGAUAGAGGAGGACCAAUCUUAGGUCAAGGGCAUAGGAGUAGCCACGCUCGCCUGCUAGAGCCUCCAAACAAGCUCUCAAAACUACUUUUGAAUGCACAUCCACAGAACUGAAGCUGCUAGAGAUGUAGAUGCUUUGGAGAAAAAUCCAAAUACGGAGACGGCAUCUUUU